rnacentral:rRNA from 1 species
UACGUAGGAGGCGAGCGUUGUCCGGAAUCACUGGGCGUAAAGCGCGUGUAGGCGGUCGCGUUAGUCUGCUGUGAAAGCGCCCCGCUUAACGGGGCGAGGUCGGCGGAAACUGCGCGACUCGAGGACGGUAGAGGGGGGUGGAAUUCCCGGUGUAGUGGUGAAAUGCGUAGAGAUCGGGAGGAACACCUGUGGCGAAGGCGGCCCCCUGGGCCGCUCCUGACGCUGAGACGCGAAGGCGCGGGGAGCGAACGGG